CGUAGGUGAACCUGCGGAAGGAUCAUUACCGAGUUGAUUCGGGCUCCGGCCCGAUCCUCCCACCCUUUGUGUACCUACCUCUGUUGCUUUGGCGGGCCGCGGUCCUCCGCGGCUGCCCCCUCCCCGGGGGGUGGCCAGCGCCCGCCAGAGGACCAUCAAACUCCAGUCAGUAAACGAUGCAGUCUGAAAAACAUUCAAUAAACUAAAACUUUCAACAACGGAUCUCUUGGUUCUGGCAUCGAUGAAGAACGCAGCGAAAUGCGAUAAGUAAUGUGAAUUGCAGAAUUCAGUGAAUCAUCGAAUCUUUGAACGCACAUUGCGCCCUUUGGUAUUCCGAAGGGCAUGCCUGUUCGAGCGUCAUUACAACCCUCAAGCUCUGCUUGGUAUUGGGCACCGUCCUUUGCGGGCGCGCCUCAAAGACCUCGGCGGUGGCGUCUUGCCUCAAGCGUAGUAGAACAUACAUCUCGCUUCGGAGCGCAGGGCGUCGCCCGCCGGACGAACCUUCUGAACUUUUCUCAAGGUGACCUCGG
rnacentral:rRNA from 1 species